UGCCUAAUACAUGCAAGUCGAGCGGACCUCGCAAGAGGUCAGCGGCGGACGGGUGAGUAACACGUGGGUAACCUGCCGUUGGAAUGGGGAUAACGCCUGGAAACGGGUGCUAAUCCCGAAUGGUUUCCUUUGCCGCAUGGCAGAGGAAGGAAAGGCGCUACGGCGCCGUCCAACGAGGGGCCCGCGGCGCAUUAGCUAGUUGGUGGGGUAAUGGCCUACCAAGGCCGCGAUGCGUAGCCGACCUGAGAGGGUGACCGGCCACACUGGGACUGAGACACGGCCCAGACUCCUACGGGAGGCAGCAGUAGGGAAUCUUCCGCAAUGGGCGAAAGCCUGACGGAGCAACGCCGCGUGAGUGAUGACGGUCUUCGGAUUGUAAAGCUCUGUCAAUUGGGACGAGUGACGGCGAGAGGGAAUGUUCGCCGUGAGACGGUACCGAUGGAGGAAGCCCCGGCUAACUACGUGCCAGCAGCCGCGGUAAUACGUAGGGGGCAAGCGUUGUCCGGAAUUACUGGGCGUAAAGCGUGCGCAGGUGGUUUGU
rnacentral:rRNA from 1 species